GUUCGAGUGGGAGAUAUCGUUCGUGUGAUUACCGAUGAGUUGUUUCCAGCGGACUUGGUUCUCUUGUCAUCUUCAGAACCCAAUGGCGCUUGUUACGUGGAAACCUCCAAUAUAGACGGCGAAACCAACUUGAAAUAUAAGCAAGGUUGUGCGCUUACAACUCACUUAGUGACUUCGGGGGACGUACGAUUUUUUCGUGGAUUAAUAGAUUGUGAAGAACCGAACCACCACUUGAACAGUUUCAAAGGCGUUUUUAAGUGUAAAGGCUCUGGAGGUGACUUGGUGAGUGCGCCCCUCCGCUUCGAGCAACUUUUGCUGCGUGGCUGCCAA